GACGAACGCUGGCGGCGCGCUUAACACAUGCAAGUCGAACGGAAAGGCCUGCUUUCCCUUGUGGAUUGCGGGUACUCGAGUGGCGAACGGGUGAGUAACACGUGAGUGAUCUGCCCCCAACUUGGGUAUAAGCCUGGGAAACUGGGUCUAAUUCCCGAUAGGACUGCAGGGUGGUGCCUGUGGUGGAAAACGAUUUUCUAGUGGUGGGGGAUGAGCUCGCGGCCUAUCAGCUUGUGGGUGGGGUAAUGGCCUACCAAGGCGGCGACGGGUAGCCGGCCUGAGAGGGUGGACGGCCACAUUGGGACUGAGAUACGGCCCAGACUCCUACGGGAGGCAGCAGUGGGGAAUACUGCGCAAUGGGCGGAAGCCUGAUGCAGCGACGCCGCGUGGGGGAUGACGGCCUUCGGGUUGUAAACUCCUUUCGACCGCGAGGAAGCCACCUGGUUGGAAGGGUGGUGACGGUAGUGGUAGAAGAAGCACCGGCUAACUACGUG
rnacentral:rRNA from 1 species